rnacentral:rRNA from 1 species
CCAAUAGCGUAUAUUAAAGUUGUUGCAGUUAAAAAGCUCGUAGUUGAAUUUCGAGAUCAAUAUGUUGGUCGUGCCUCGGUAUGUACUUGCAUCAUUGAUUUCUCCCUUCUGAUGAACCAUGAUGCCGUUAAUUUGGUGUUGUGGGGAAUCAGGACUGUUACUUUGAAAAAAUUAGAGUGUUUAAAGCAGGCUCACGCUUGAAUACAUUAGCAUGGAAUAAUGAAAUAGGACGUUUGAUUCUAUUUUGUUGGUUUCUAGGAUCGACGUAAUGAUUAAUAGGGAUAGUUGGGGGCAUUAGUAUUCAAUUAUCAGAGGUGAAAUUCUUGGAUUUAUUGAAGACUAACUACUGCGAAAGCAUUUGCCAAGGAUGUUUUCAUUAAUCAAGAACGAAAGUUAGGGGAUCGAAGACGAUCAGAUACCGUCGUAGUCUUAACCAUAAACUAUGCCGACUAGGGAUCGGAUGAUGUUAAUUUUUUAAUGACUCAUUCGGCGCCUUACG